rnacentral:rRNA from 1 species
UACAGAGGUCCCGAGCGUUGUUCGGAUUCACUGGGCGUAAAGGGUGCGUAGGUGGUGGGGUAAGUCUGAUGUGAAAUCUCCAGGCUCAACCUGGAAAUGGCAUUGGAAACUACCCUGCUGGAGGGUUGGAGGGGGGACUGGAAUACUUGGUGUAGCAGUGAAAUGCGUAGAUAUCAAGUGGAACACCAGUGGCGAAGGCGAGUCCCUGGACAACACCUGACACUGAGGCACGAAAGCCAGGGGAGCAAACAGG